CCUAGAAUGGCAAGGGACACGGGGAAAGGGAAGCAAAACUAGCGUUUGUUGAGGAUCAGUGAUGUGCAAGGCAUGGCCCACAUUCCUUUUAUGCAGAACUUGAUACCAAGAAGAAAGAAGGCAGAGGCAUUUUCAAAGUCAUAACUGUCUAAAGAAAUUGGGAAGACAGUGCCUGGUACCUAGGAAAUAUUGAGUAACUUAUAGCAACUGUGGUGAUGGUGGCGAUAUACAGAUGUCUGGGUAAGAUUUUGCAUUUCUUUUGCGAAAAAACGAGUGAAUCACAGUUGGAUAUCUCUUCUGCAACUGAUAGUGACCUCCGUUUUCCGAAGACAUUAAAAAAAAACAAAUGCCUGUGUGUAAAUUAUAUUCAUACCUAUUCCUGGAAUAAUUUCUCCAACCCCACUUCCCUUUAUCCUGCACUGAAACAAUUUGUUUCAAAUUGCUUGAAGCCUGAUGGAAAUAUCUGACCUGAUUUUGCAGUCAUAAGAGGUUUGGAGAGCAGUGAUUUAAGAUCCUAACAUUGGCCUGUUGUUUCAGUGAAGAAUUUCAACAUUAUGAGCCUCUUCACCAAAAUUACUUUAAUGUAUUUUCUUUUGUGUAUCUUUGCAUACACUCACGUAUUUUGUGUGUGUGUUGUGUUUGGUUUUCUCAUAACCUGACUCUUCAACCACUAUUUGAGUUCUAAAGAAGGGGAGAGCUUCGUUAUGAUUCAUUUUCAUGCUUUGAACGUAGUGUACCCACUUUGGGUAUAUGGUACUCUCUAUGUGUAAGGAACGCCAGCCUUAUUGCCACUGAAAAACCAGAUAUGUAAUACUUUAAAAAAUGAUGUGAUCCUUCUUCUAGACAAAAAGUACUUGCCUACAAUGCGUCUCAUGGAAAUUGUUUCUGGUUCUGGAGAGGGCCAGGUAGAACAAGUGUAAGUAGAAAUUAUAUUCAAGUGGAUUUUAGCUCCAUCUGAAGGAGGCCUUGGCAAUAAGUAGCCACUGAAUUCCUGCUUCAUGAUGGCGAAAUAAUUUCUGGUCUCAUGGCUGGAUUUUUGGGGAGUCAUAGAAGAGAUUAUGGUAUUUUUAGAGGCAGUUUUUCCUUUCCUCCCUUCUGUUUUCUCUGCCUCUCUUUCCUUUUUCUUUUUUUCCUUUUCUCCCUCCCCUUCCCACUCAUCACACAUGUAGUAAACUUCUGUGAUGCACCAUGUACUUUGUUUCUUAAUCUAAAGGUCUGUAAUUGAGAGGUAACGG
rnacentral:lncRNA from 1 species